rnacentral:rRNA from 1 species
UACGUAGGGGGCAAGCGUUGUUCGGAAUUACUGGGCGUAAAGGGCGCGUAGGCGGCAUGGCAAGUCAGGAGUGAAAGGCCUGGGCUCAACCGAGGAACUGCUUUUGAUACUGCCAAGCUAGAGUGCGGAAGGGGCAACUGGAAUUCCCAGUGUAGCGGUGAAAUGCGUAGAUAUCAGGAGGAACACCAAUGGCGAAGGCAGCUCGCUGGGACGGUACUGACGCUGAGACGCGAAAGCGUGGGGAGCGAACAGG